rnacentral:tRNA from 1 species
GGUUGUGGCUCAGUGGUAGAGCACUUGCCUUGAAUGUGUGAGGCCUUGGGUUCAAUACUCAUCACCA